rnacentral:rRNA from 1 species
UUAAUCCGCUGAAAGAUAAAUCUGUUUAAGAUUAGGUUGUUGGUAAUUUAAAAGCUUACCAAGCCGAUGAUCUUUAGUUGGUCUGAGAGGAUGAUCAANCACACUGGAACUGAAAUAAGGUCCACGCUAAUACGUUGUGCAGCAGUGGGGGAUAUUGGACAAUGAACGAAAGUUUGGAUCAGCAAUACUAACUGGGUGAUGACGGCUUAUUGAAGUUGUAAGAUCCUUUAAUUAAAGAAGAUAAUGACAUUAUUUAAUUGAAUUGGUUCCGGCUAAUACUCGUGCCAGCAGCCGCGGUAAUACGGGAAGGGCGAGCGUUAUCCGGCAUGACUGGGCGUAAAGAGUCCGUAGACUGUAAAAUAAGUUUUUUGUUAAAUUUUAAGACCUAAUCUUAACAUAGCAACUAAUACUAUUUUACUAUGAGUCUAAUACAGAAAAGUAGAAUUUUGUACGAUAGAGGUGAAAUUUGCAGAUAUAUAAAGGAAUGCCAAAAGCGAAGGCAACUUUUUGGUAUAGACUGACGUUGAGGGACGAAAGCGUGGGUAGCAAACGGGAUUAGAGACCCCGGUAGUCCACGCCGUAAAUUCUGAGUGCU